rnacentral:rRNA from 1 species
GCCAAGCGAAUAAGAGCGUGUGGGGGAUGUCUUGGCGCCAAGAGGCGAUGAAGGGCGUGGCAGACUGCGAAAAGCCUGGUGGAGCUGUCAAACGAGCGUUGAUACCAGGAUCCCUGAAUA